AUGAAGAAACCCAGAGGAGUGGUCUUCAAGGUCCAGGAUAUGGAUUCGGAAGCAGAUAAAAAGUUGGCACCAAUGAUUAGGAGUGAAUUUGGGUCAGCUGGAACUAGACUGACUUUGUUGUGCAAAUACUAUAAAGUGAAUUUUAACAAAUCCGAAGACAUUCAUAAGUAUUUCACACAAUAUAGAGUUGAUAUUUGGUAUAGAAAUAUAUUGAACAUCUCUUGGACGAAUACUCGAAAAAAUAUAAAGUUGUAA